rnacentral:rRNA from 1 species
ACUGAAUAGAUACCCUGGUAGUCCCAGCUGUAAACGAUGCAGACUAGGUGUUUGGACGGCCACGUGCCGUUCUAGUGCCGCAGGGAAGCUGUUAAGUCUGCCGCCUGGGGAGUACGAUCGCAAGAUUGAAACUUAAAGGAAUUGGCGGGGAGCACCACAAGGGGUGAAAGCUUGCGGUUUAAUUGGAGUCAACGCCGGAAAUCUCACCGGGAGCGACAGCAGUAUGAAAGCCAGAUUGAAGGUCUUGCUAGACGAGCUGAGAGGAGGUGCAUGGCCGUCGCCAGUUCGUGCCGUGAGGUGUCCUGUUAAGUCAGGCAACGAUCGAGACCCGCGUCCUCUGUUGCAACCAGCUUUGUGCUGGGCACACUGAGGAGACCGCCACUGAUAAAGUGGAGGAAGGAGCGGGCCACGGCAGGUCAGUAUGCCCCGGAAUCUCCCGGGCCACACGCGAGCUGCAAUGGCAAGUACAAUGGGUUCCGACCUCGAAAGGGGUAGGCAAUCUCGAAAGCUUGCCGUAGUUGGAA